GCCUAAAAUCAAGCCUUUAACUCUUAUUAUUCAACCCCAUUUCUAUUCCUUCCCCUAAAUAAAACAUUUUAUUACUUUAGUAGAGGUGAUCGAAAAAUUAAUUAGCGCUUCACACACAGUACCGCAAGGGAACGAUGAAAUAGCUUUGAAAUAGACUAAAAGCCAAAAACAGCAGAGAUUACCCCUCGUACCUUUUGCAUCAUGGUUUAGCCAGUCCUAACCAAGCAAGGCGAACCCAAGUUUGGUCCCCCGAAACUAGGCGAGCUACUUCGAAACAGCUUUUAGAGCCAACCCAUCUCUGUUGCAAAAGAGUGGGAUGAUUUCCAAGUAGAGGUGAAAAGCCUAUCGAGCCUAGAGAUAGCUGGUUAUUCAAGAAAUGAAUUUUAGUUCACCCUUAAGCCCCCCCCCGGUAACCUAAACACGACUCCCCCGCUUAAGAGCUAUUCAAUUAAGGCACAGCUUAUUUGAAAAAGAAUCCAAUCUAUAAUUCAGGGUAAGCCACGACUGCCUUGUUAAGUGGGCUUGAAAGCAGCCACCUUUCAAAAAGCGUUUAAGCUUAGCAUAUUCUAUUAAUAAAAUUCCACAACACCCCACGAACCCGACACCACAAUUGAAUAACUCUAUAGAUUAUAGAAGAUAUGAUGCUAAAACUAGUAACAAGAAAAAGACCUUUCUCCAAAAUAUAAGUGUAUGUCAAAACGAACUCAUCAUUGACACCUAACGCCCUUGAGCCCAAGAUAAUAACCCACCAAGAAAACCUUAUUACACAAUGACGUUAACCUAACACAAGAAUAUUUCUGGAAAGAUUAAAAGAGGGAGAAGGAACUCGGCAAAUCUAAGCCCCGCCUGUUUACCAAAAACAUCGCCUCUUGAAUAGAUAUAAGAGGUCCAGCCUGCCCAGUGAUACAAUUUAACGGCCGCGGUAUACUGACCGUGCGAAGGUAGCAUAAUCACUUGUUCUUUAAAUGGGGACUAGUAUGAACGGCACCACGAGGGCUUUACUGUCUCCUCCCUUCAAUCAGUGAAACUGACCUCCCUGUGAAGAGGCAGGGAUACCACUAUAAGACGAGAAGACCCCAUGGAGCUUUAAACCCAACAACAGCCCAAACACCACCACCCCAAAAAGUUUUAAGGGUAUUGCUAGUUGGUUUUAGGUUGGGGUGACCGCGGAGUAUAAACUAUCCUCCACGACGAACGGGCCUACCCCCUUACCCAAGAGCUACGCCUCUAAGGAUUAACACAUUAACGUAAAAUGAUCCAAAUAUUUGAUCAACGAACCAAGUUACCCUGGGGAUAACAGCGCAAUCCAUUUUUAGAGCCCCUAUCGACAAAUGGGUUUACGACCUCGAUGUUGGAUCAGGGUAUCCAGGAGGUGCAGCCGCUUCCAAUGGUU
rnacentral:rRNA from 1 species